rnacentral:rRNA from 1 species
AACAGGAUUAGAUACCCUGGUAGUCCACACCGUAAACGAUGAGUGCUAGGUGUUGGAGGGUUUCCGCCCUUCAGUGCCGGAGCUAACGCAUUUAGCACUCCGCCUGGGGAGUACGACCGCAAGGUUGAAACUCAAAGGAAUUGACGGGGGCCCGCACAAGCGGUGGAGCAUGUGGUUUAAUUCGAAGCUACGCGAAGAACCUUACCAGGUCUUGACAUCUUGCGCCAACCCUAGAGAUAGGGCGUUUCCUUCGGGAACGCAAUGACAGGUGGUGCAUGGUCGUCGUCAGCUCGUGUCGUGAGAUGUUGGGUUAAGUCCCGCAACGAGCGCAACCCUUGUUACUAGUUGCCAGCAUUAAGUUGGGCACUCUAGUGAGACUGCCGGUGACAAACCGGAGGAAGGUGGGGACGACGUCAGAUCAUCAUGCCCCUUAUGACCUGGGCUACACACGUGCUACAAUGGACGGUACAACGAGUCGCGAACUCGCGAGGGCAAGCAAAUCUCUUAAAACCGUUCUCAGUUCGGACUGCAGGCUGCAACUCGCCUGCACGAAGUCGGAAUCGCUAGUAAUCGCGGAUCAGCAUGCCGCGGUGAAUACGUUCCCGGGCCUUGUACGCACCGCCCGUCACACCAUGAGAGUUUGUAACACCCAAAGUCGGUGGGGUAACCUUUUAGGAGCCAGCCGCCUAAGGUGGGACAGAUGAUUAGGGUGAAGUCGUAACAAGGUAACC